rnacentral:rRNA from 1 species
CAAAGAACUUUGAAGAGAGAGUUCAAGAGGGCGUGAAACCGCUGAGGUGGAAGCGGAUAGAGUUGACGAAACUCGGCGACAUUCAACCUGUUCUCCUUGCGGCAUCACGGUUUUACACCUUCCCUGGAUAAAAACGUGAUCAGCUGCCGGGCUGUUGACCGGUGUAUUUGCCGUCGGUAUGCGCCGAAGGGGUUGCUGCCGGGCGCUUACGCCUGCUUAGUGGACCAUUCCCUUUGGGUUUGGAACCCUCAGCAGGUUGAGGCAUUUUGGCGGUCACUUGCUUUCCACAAAGUGUUCUCCGCUUUCAGCGCAGUCCCGGUCGCUUCGCCAACACGGUCGUUGGGCGGUCGCAUGCGACUUGCCUACGGUUGUUGUUGGUGAGUGGCCGGUAUGGCUGCGUCGAGACACUCUACUUCGGUGUGAAAGUUAACCACCUAUCCGACCCGUCUUGAAACACGGACCAAGGAGUCUAGCAUAUGCGCAAGUCAUUGGGUGGAAAACCUAAAGGCGUAAUGAAAGUAAAAGUCGCCUCGAUGCGGCCAAUAUGGGAUCUUGGCGGUCACGGCUGCCAAGCGCACCAUAGCCCCGUCCCCGUUGCUUGCAAUAGGGCGGAGAUUGAGCGCAUACGCUGGGACCCGAAAGAUGGUGAACUAUGCCUGAGCAGGAUGAAGCCAGAGGAAACUCUGGUGGAGGUCCGAAGCGGUUCUGACGUGCAAAUCGAUCGUCUGACUUGGGUAUAGGGGCGAAAGACUAAUCGAACCAUC